GAUGAACGCUAGCUACAGGCUUAACACAUGCAAGUCGAGGGGCAGCAUUAUCUUAGCUUGCUAAGAUAGAUGGCGACCGGCGCACGGGUGAGUAACACGUAUCCAACCUUCCGGUUACUCGGGGGUAGGCUUUCGAAAGAAAGAUUAAUACCCGAUGUUGCGUAUCUUUCUCCUGAAAGAUACGCCAAAGGAUUCCGGUAGACGAUGGGGAUGCGUUCCAUUAGAUAGUAGGCGGGGUAACGGCCCACCUAGUCUUCGAUGGAUAGGGGUUCUGAGAGGAAGGUCCCCCACAUUGGAACUGAGACACGGUCCAA
rnacentral:rRNA from 1 species